rnacentral:rRNA from 1 species
GAUGAACGCUGGCGGCGUGCUUAACACAUGCAAGUCGAGCGAUGAAGUUUCCUUCGGGAAAUGGAUUAGCGGCGGACGGGUGAGUAACACGUGGGUAACCUGCCUCAUAGAGUGGAAUAGCCUUCCGAAAGGAAGAUUAAUACCGCAUAAUGUUGAAAGAUGGCAUCAUCAUUCAACCAAAGGAGCAAUCCGCUAUGAGAUGGACCCGCGGCGCAUUAGCUAGUUGGUGGGGUAACGGCCUACCAAGGCGACGAUGCGUAGCCGACCUGAGAGGGUGAUCGGCCACAUUGGGACUGAGACACGGCCCAGACUCCUACGGGAGGCAGCAGUGGGGAAUAUUGCACAAUGGGGGAAACCCUGAUGCAGCAACGCCGCGUGAGUGAUGAAGGUUUUCGGAUCGUAAAGCUCUGUCUUUGGGGAAGAUAAUGACGGUACCCAAGGAGGAAGCCACGGCUAACUACGUGCCAGCAGCCGCGGUAAUACGUAGGUGGCGAGCGUUAUCCGGAUUUACUGGGCGUAAAGGGAGCGUAGGCGGAUGAUUAAGUGGGAUGUGAAAUACCCGGGCUCAACUUGGGUGCUGCAUUCCAAACUGGUUAUCUAGAGUGCAGGAGAGGAGAGUGGAAUUCCUAGUGUAGCGGUGAAAUGCGUAGAGAUUAGGAAGAACACCAGUGGCGAAGGCGACUCUCUGGACUGUAACUGACGCUGAGGCUCGAAAGCGUGNGGAGCAAACAGG